rnacentral:rRNA from 1 species
GACGAACGCUGGCGGCGUGCUUAACACAUGCAAGUCGAACGGGCCCGCCCCUGUUUUUGGGGGUGGGUUGAGUGGCGAACGGGUGAGUAUCACGUGAGUAACCUGCCCCCUGCUCCUGGAUAACUGCUUGAAAGGGCGGCUAAUACGGGGUGUGCCGGCUGGUCCGCAUGGGCCUGGUCGGGAUAGUUUCAUCUUCGGGUGUUUCGGUGGGGGAUGGGCUCGCGGCCUGUCAGCUUGUUGGUGGGGUGAUGGCCCACCAAGGCGGUGACGGGUAGCCGGCCUGAGAGGGUGGGCGGCCACACUGGGACUGAGACACGGCCCAGACGCGUGCGGGAGGCAGCAGUGGGGGGUAGUGCACAAUGGGCGGAAGCCUGAUGCAGCGACGUCGCGUGAGGGAUGAAGGCCUUCGGGUUGUGAACCUCUUUCUCCGGUGGUGAAGGCCCUGUCCGUUGCGGCGGGGUUGACGGUAGCCGGGUAUGAAGCGCCGGCUAACUACGUG